AGUUCGAUUAUGGCUCAGAUUGAACGCUGGCGGGAUGCUUUACACAUGCAAGUCGAACGGCAGCACGGACUUCGGUCUGGUGGCGAGAGUGGCGAACGGGUGAGUAAUGUAUCGGAACGUGCCUAGUGGCCGGGGGACAACUACGCGAAGCGCCAGCUAAUGCCGCAUACGCCCUUCCAGGAAAGCCGGGGCCUUCAGACUCACGCACUAUUAAAGCGGCGAUAUCGGAUUAGCUAGUUGGUGGGGUAACGGCUCACCAAGGCGACGAUCCGUAGCUGGUUUUGAGAAGACGACCAGCCACACUGGGACUGAGACACGGCCCGAACUCCUACGGAGAGCAGCAGUGGGGAAUUUUGGACAAUGGGGAAACCCUGGUCAGCCAUCCGCGUGUGCGAUGAAGGCCUUCCGGGUUGUAAAGCACUUUGGCAGGAAAGAAACGGCGCAGGGAUGUAUGCAAUGCAACUGACGGUACCUGCAGAAUAAGCAUUAACUCUACGUGCAGCGGCCAGCGGUAUUACGUAGGGUGCAAGCGUUAAUCGGAAUUACUGGGCGUAAACGUGCGCAGGCGGUUCCGGAAGAAGAUGUGAAAUCAGAGCUUAACUUUGGAACUGCAUUUUUAACUACCGGUGACUAGAGUGUGUCAGAGGAGGUGGAAUUCCCGCGUGUAGCAGUGAAAUGCGUAGAUAUGCGGAGGAACACCGAUGGCGAAGGCAGCCUCCUGGGAUAACACUGACGCUCAUGCGAAAGCGUAGAGAACAAACCGGAUUCUAGAUACCCUGGUCCACUGACGAUGUCAACUAGCUGUUGGGGCCUUCAGGCCUUGGUAGCGCAACCCCAACGCGUGAAGUUGACCGCCUGGGGAAGUACGGUCACUGCAGAUUAAAACUCAAAGGAAUUUGACUGAGGACCCGCACAAGCGGUGGAUGAUGUGGAUUAAUUCGGUGCAACGCGAAAAGACCUUACCUACCCUUGGCAUUAUCUGGAAUCGAGGAAUUUGGGAGUGCUCGCAGAGAACCCGGAACACAGGUGCUGCAUGGCUCGUCAGCUCGUGUCGUGAGAUGUUGGGUUAAGUCCCGCAGCAGGUAACCUUGUCUGCAUUAGUUGCUACGAAAGGGCACUCUAAUGAGACUGCCGGUGAUGACAAACCGGAGGAAGGUGGGGAUGACGUCAAGUCUCGUGGCCCUUAUGGGUAGGGCUUCACACGUCAUACAAUGGUCGGGACAGAGGGUCGCCAACCCGCGAGAGGCCAAUCCCAGAAACCCGAUCGUAGUCCGGAUCGCAGUCUGCAACUCGACUGCGUGAAGUCGGAAUCGCUAGUAAUCGCUGACGGAUCAGCAUGUCGCGGUGAACCCGUUCCCGGGUCUUGUACACCGCCGUCACCACCAUGGGAAUGGGUUUUACCAAGUAGUUAGCCUAACUUAAGCCAAGGAGGGCAGUUACCACAGUAGGAUUCAUGACUGGGGUAGGAAGUCGUAACAAGGUAA
rnacentral:rRNA from 1 species